CCGGCGCUGGGGGGAAGCGCGGCGGGGUCCUAGUGCCCGCUGGUUGCUGGUGUGAGGCUCGCGGCGGGGCUCCCGGCGAGGUCGGACACCUCAGACCCCUCGCCGGCCGCUCGCCUGGCGCCGAUGGCUGGCCGCUCCCUGGGGAAGGCGGUAGCCACCGUGUCGCUCUCGGUGGCCCUCGCGUCCGUAACUGUCCGGUCCUCAGGCUGCCGCGCCAUCCCCGCACCCAGGUACCCCGUUUCUAGGAUGGGCUGCGGCUCCCAGAUCUCGGGUGGACCUGCGAUCCCCUCCUUCCUUUCCCAAAGGUUAUGUAGGCUGUGCUGGCGUAGUCAAUUUUGGAAAACCCAAUAGCAAGGACCCUCCUCGAUCUCUGAGUUUCGAAUUUGUCCUUCUAGAUAAAGG
rnacentral:lncRNA from 1 species